UACGAAGGGUGCAAGCGUUACUCGGAAUUACUGGGCGUAAAGCGUGCGUAGACGGUAGCGUAAGUCAGAUGUGAAAGCCCCGGGCUCAACCUGGGAACUGCAUUUGAGACUGCUCUGCUCGGGUGCGGAAGAGGGAAGCGGAAUUUCCGGUGUAGCGGUGAAAUGCGUAGAUAUCGGAAGGAACACCAGUGGCGAAAGCGGCUUCCUGGUCCGACACCGACGUUCAGGCACGAAAGCGUGGGGAGCAAACAGG
rnacentral:rRNA from 1 species